AUUGAACGCUGGCGGCAGGCCUAACACAUGCAAGUCGAGCGGAUGAAGGGAGCUUGCUCCUGGAUUCAGCGGCGGACGGGUGAGUAAUGCCUAGGAAUCUGCCUGGUAGUGGGGGAUAACGUCCGGAAACGGGCGCUAAUACCGCAUACGUCCUGCGGGAGAAAGUGGGGGAUCUUCGGACCUCACGCUAUCAGAUGAGCCUAGGUCGGAUUAGCUAGUUGGUGGGGUAAAGGCCUACCAAGGCGACGAUCCGUAACUGGUCUGAGAGAAUGAUCAGUCACACUGGAACUGAGACACGGUCCAGACUCCUACGGGAGGCAGCAGUGGGGAAUAUUGGACAAUGGGCGAAAGCCUGAUCCAGCCAUGCCGCGUGUGUGAAGAAGGUCUUCGGAUUGUAAAGCACUUUAAGUUGGGAGGAAGGGCAGUAAGUUAAUACCUUGCUGUUUUGACGUUACCAACAGAAUAAGCACCGGCUAACUUCGUG
rnacentral:rRNA from 1 species